AGUGAACGCUGGCGGCAGGCCUAACACAUGCAAGUCGAGCGGCAGCGCAGCAGUAGCAAUACUGUGGGCGGCGAGCGGCGGACGGGUGAGGAAUACAUCGGAAUUUACCCAAUCGUGGGGGAUAACGUAGGGAGACUUACGCUAAUACCGCAUGAACUGGAGACAGCAAAGCGGCGGACCUUCGGGCGUCGCGCGGUUGGAUGAGCCGAUGUCGGAUUAGCUAGUUGGCGGGGUAAAGGCCCACCAAGGCGACGAUCCGUAGCUGGUCUGAGAGGAUGAUCAGCCACACUGGAACUGAGACACGGUCCAGACUCCUACGGGAGGCAGCAGUGGGGAAUAUUGGACAAUGGGCGCAAGCCUGAUCCAGCCAUGCCGCGUGUGUG
rnacentral:rRNA from 1 species